rnacentral:rRNA from 1 species
ACAGGGUGAUAGUCCCGUACACCAAAAUGCACAGGCUGUGAACUCGAAGAGUAGGGCGGGACACGUGGUAUCCUGUCUGAAUAUGGGGGGACCAUCCUCCAAGGCUAAAUACUCCUGACUGACCGAUAGUGAACCAGUACCGUGAGGGAAAGGCGAAAAGAACCCCGGCGAGGGGAGUGAAAAAGAACCUGAAACCGUGUACGUACAAGCAGUGGGAGCACCUUCGGGUGUGACUGCGUACCUUUUGUAUAAUGGGUCAGCGACUUAUAUUCUGUAGCAAGGUUAACCGUAUAGGGGAGCCGCAGGGAAACCGAGUCUUAACUGGGCGUUAAGUUGCAGGGUAUAGACCCGAAACCCGGUGAUCUAGCCAUGGGCAGGUUGAAGGUUGGGUAACACUAACUGGAGGACCGAACCGACUAAUGUUGAAAAAUUAGCGGAUGACUUGUGGCUGGGGGUGAAAGGCCAAUCAAACCGGGAGAUAGCUGGUUCUCCCCGAAAGCU